UUAGGAUUUGAAUCCUGCGUAACCGCAACGGAAACGAUUCCUGGAAGAUAGUUAAGUCUUAUUUCUAAAACCAUUCUCUAAUUUUCUUCUUAUUUCAGAAUACUUUGACUCUGGCAGUUUGAACUUUGAACUUUCAAAUGCAUUCUCAGACGUUAUCGAAGCUUUUGGCCUUUGGCAAAUUUGAUUCUGUUGAAAUCGAAUCCUUUCGUUGAAAUCCC
rnacentral:lncRNA from 1 species